rnacentral:rRNA from 1 species
AAGCCUCGCCUGUUUACCAAAAACACCGCCCCCUGUACUACAAAUAUAGGGGGUCCCGCCUGCCCAGUGACUAUGGGUUCAACGGCCGCGGUAUUUUAACCGUGCAAAGGUAGCGUAAUCACUUGUCUUUUAAAUGAAGACCUGUAUGAAUGGCAAAACGAGGGAUUAGCUGUCUCCCCCUUUUAAUCAGUGAAAUUGAUCUCCCCGUGCAGAAGCGGGGAUAAAGACAUAAGACGAGAAGACCCUGUGGAGCUUUAAACACAAGGGACGAGCACAUAGAAACUACUUUUUAACAAGUAAGACUACCUGUUUCCUCCCUGCUGUUUUUGGUUGGGGCGACCACGGGGAAAAGACUAUCCCCCGCGAGGAAAGGAAGCACACACACCUCCUUAGAACAGAGCCUCCGCUCUAAAACACAGAAUAUCUGACCACCAGAUCCGGCAUAGCCGAUCAACGGACCGAGUUACCCCAGGGAUAACAGCGCAAUCCUCUUCCAGAGCCCAUAUCGACAAGAGGGUUUACGACCUCGAUGUUGGAUCAGGAUGUCCUAAUGGUGCAACCGCUAUUAAGGGUUCGUUUGUUCAACGAUUAAAAUCCUACGUGAUCUGAGUUCAG